GACGAACGCUGGCGGCGUGCCUAACACAUGCAAGUCGAACGGAAAGGCCCUGCUUUUGUGGGGUGCUCGAGUGCCGAACGGGUGAGUAACACGUGUGUAACCUGCCCUUGACUUUGGGAUAACUUCAGGAAACUGGGGCUAAUAUCGGAUAGGAUCUCCUGCUCCAUGGUGGGCGUUGGAAAGUUUCGGCGGUUGGGGAUGGACUGGCGGCUUAUCAGCUUGUUGGUGGGGUAGUGGCAUACCAAGGCUUUGACGGGUAGCCGGCCUGAGAGGGGAGACGGCCACAAGAGGACUGAGAGACGGACCAGACGCGAAUGGGAGGCAGCGGUGGGGAGUAUGACACAGUGGGCGGGAGCGUGAUGCGGCGACGCCGCGUGCGGAAUGACGGCCUUCGGGUUGUAAACCGCUUUCGCCUGAGACGAAGCGGUAGUGACGGUAAUGGGUGAAGAAGCACCGGCUAACUACGUG
rnacentral:rRNA from 1 species